ensembl:lncRNA
CCGGCGAGUUACAUAACAUCAGAAACCAGCGCAACUUUGCAAGCCAGGCAAGCCCAGUCCGUGCUAAUAAACGGCUCACACACCCCCUUCACAAUCCCCUUCUCCGAUAGGUCUAGUCAGAGAUGAAAAAAACAUUAACGAGGGCUUUAAAAAGAUCCACAUAGUUCUGUCCAUCAGUAAAGUCUGGUCACUAGACCAGGGUACGUUCGCCACAUUCUCUAUUCUGACCCACGCUUUCUUCUCAUCUCCGGGAAGACGCAAAUCAAAGUUCUUAGGUAUUUCUUGUUGACUAAAACCCAAACUUGAAAAUGCCCAGCAAGAGGAAGAAGAACAAGCGCCGCAUGAGGAGGGUGCAGGCCCAGAGGAGAGUCCUGGAGGAUCAACACGUUGCUGGAACUGGCACUGGCAAAGGGACCCCAGGGGUGUCGGCAAUGUCGGCACCCCCUGAAAUAUCCAAAUGUUCCCCACUUGCACCCCCCAAAAAACCCUCAAAUUGUCCCCUGCUUGUCCGCCCUCCUAAAAUAUCCAAAUGUCCCCCACUAGCCCCCCCCCUAAAAACGUUGAAUUGUCCUCCCCUUGUCCGCCCCCCUGAAAUAUCAAAAUGUCCCCCACUUAUCCCCACCCCCAAAGCAUCGAAGUGUCCUCCCCUGACCCCCCCCCUUCCGGUAGUAAAGGUUCCAGUUGUAGAGCCGCUGACCCCAGUCAAAGUACCGGAGCCUGAGCAAGUGUUGGCAGCUGUAGAAAGUGUAGUGAUACCAGAUAACCAUGAAGCCCCCGUGGAGGUUGAAAAAGCUCCUGUUGAGGUUGCAAAAGCCCCAGUUGAGGUUGAAAAAGCCCCAGUCGAGGUUGAAGUUGCCCAGGUGGAGAUUGAAAAAGCCCCAGUCGAGGUUGAAGUUGCCCAGGUGGAGAUUGAAAAAGCCCCAGUCGAGGUUGAAGUUGCCCAGGUGGAGAUUGAAAAAGCCCCAAUUGAGGUUGAUGCAGCGCCAGUGGAGGUUGAAGCAGCGCCAGUGGAGGUUGAAGUUGCGCCACUGGAGGUUGUUGCCCCACAUAAAACUCCAGAUGUGGUGGAUGGCCUGGUUGUUGCACCAGUUGAGUUUGAAGCCACAGAAGAAGUGCCAGUUGAGUCCCAAAUAAUAGAAGUGGAAGUGCCAGCAGAAGCUUCAGUAGAGCACGCUACAGGAGAAAUGGCAGCAAUGCAGGAAGUUGACGAACGCGUGAUUCCAAAAACAGUGCCAUUAACAGAGGACGCACCCAUCCCCGAAGCUCCCGUUUUGGCGCCUGCUGAAUUUGAGGUCAAAGAGUCGGCCGCCAUUACAACAGAGAUCACCCAGAUGUAUGACCAGCAGUCGCUCUCAGCAGAGGUGGAGGCUGAAAUAGUUUCAGUGGUUCAAGUGGAAGUAGAGAAAGAGCCAGACCCAGAGCCCACUGUUGAGGCUGAGGCUGCCCCUGUAAUAAAAGCUGAUGUUCAACCUGAAGAGGCGGUGGCUAAAGCAGAGUCUGGUCCUGUGGUCGAAGCAGAGUGCAUUCCUAUAAAGCCAGAACCAGAGGUUGUUGUCAAAGCCGAUGCUAGCCCUGCAGUAAAAGCUGAAGUUCAACCUGAAGAGGCAGUGGUAAAAGCAGAGCCCAGUUCUGUGGUAGAAACACAGCCCAUUCUUGUAAUGGCAGAAUCAGUGCCUUUGGUCAAGGCUGAAUGCUGUCCCUUAGAAGCUGAAGUUCAACCUGAAGAAGGAUUGGUAAAAGCAGAGCCCAGUUCUGUGGUAGAAACACAGCCCAUUCCUGUAAUGGCAGAAUCAGUGCCUGUGGUUAAGGCCGAAGCUGCCCCUGUAGUAAAAGCUGAAGUUCAACCUGAAGAGGCGGUUGUUAAAGCUGAGUCCAGUCUUGCGGUCAAAACAGAGACCCUUGCUGUAAAGCCACAACAGGAGCCUGUGGUCAAGGCAGAAGCUAACCUUGUAGCAGAAGCCGAAGUUGAACCUGAAGAGGUGGUGAUCAAAGCAGAGGUUGAGCCUGUCAAGACAGUGGCAGCUGAGGAGGUUCAAGUGGUGAUAAAAAAUAUCCUGGAAACGCUGGAGCCUGUGGAAGCUAUAUUUAAAGAUGCCCCUGUAGCCAAGGUUGCUACCGCAAAGCCUGUUGUAGAGGCUGCGGCCGACCCUGUCACUGACACAGGGGCCGGCGACUUCGUCGUUGUGGAGCCCGCCCCCAUCGUGAAGGCGGCCUUGACCACGCCAGCCGCUGAGGAGCAGGUGCUCGCAGCCCCUCGUGACGAAUCGAAAGCCCCAUCAGAGUCACGGAGCAACGUGGCCUCGGCCCCUGAGACCACCCUUGUCACAGCCGAUGAAGUCAUUGACACUAAAGAGGAAAUUGAAGCCGCGGUGGAAAUUGAGGUAGAAAAGGAUGAAAAGAAAGCCUCUGAUGUCCUUCCUGGAGAUUUGUCCUCCCCACAGCCUAUCAUCUCAGAACUGCAGUGUCACGCUCAGCUUGCAACUGUGCCCGCCCCCAUGGAAAUCCCAGCACAGGUACCGCAGAACGGACACAUGGCAGCCGAGGUGACCAUGGAGGGAUAGAUCUAUGCAG